AAAAAAACACACCCCUGCCUUCACACAAAGGCACCUUGUCUCUUAACCAGGCUGCAACACCUAUUUUUAUUUUCUUUUUUUGGAACAAUGGAAAACUAAAAAACCAAGUCGGCCCUCGCUCCCUGCUGCAGGAAUAGCAGAACAAAGCCGGACGACUGGAGAAGCAGACAUCUGAGCCGGUGUAAUACCUGCAAUCUAAAACCGGUAGAGCAUAUAAGAUGUCCUCUGUAAGAGACUCAGCGACAAUACUCAGGCUGUCGGUCUCAUGAUGAAACUCUGACUUCACCACCAACCCAAACAUUGGAUCCACAGAGCAUCCCGGAUGAACGUCCGAGGCGCCGCCUGGCGAUCAAACUUUAAGAGUCGUUUCCAUGAAAGCAGACGCUACUGUAGGUUCUGACUAUGACUAAAUGCACUAAGGCUUCGGGUUCACUUUCAAAUAGGUCACCCUACUGGGCCAACCAAUGAAUUCAGCUAAAAAAGAUGACAGGUGCUUGGCUGUUAUUAUGAAAGCAAAACUGAUAAAAGAGGCUCCAUCCAGACUCUACAUCCAGAGCCGAUGGACAAAAAAAUCUCAUCAAAUCACCACCUUAACAAUUUAUAUACCAUAGUGUUUACGAAACUAACUUCAAACUUUACAUACUAUUUCUUACACACCAUAUUUGCGUACUUUUCAUUUUAGAUUUGUUGUUCUUUCCAUAUCUUUUUAUUUUUUACUUUCCAAGCAGUAUUUUUGUGCUACACCUAACAUAGUCUUUGUACUUUACUCAUUGUAUUUUUCGUACUUCAUAUACAAUAUUCUCCUAACUUGACAUACAGCACACUACCAACCAUAUUUUUCAUAUUUUAAAUACAUUAUUUUGCAUAAUUUUAAAUACUGUAUACUGUAUUUUUUGUACUUAUCUUAUUUGCACAUUUCAUACCGUAUUUUUAACACAAUAUAUUUUUGGUACUUUACAUAUUGUAUUUUUUUUCACUUUAACUAUUUAUAUAUUAUAUAAAUGUAUAUUAUAUUUCUUUAUAUUCAUCCUUCAUAUACAGUAUUUUCAUAACUAAUAUGGCAUAUUGUUCAGAGAUAAAGGAGCACCAGAUCGUAGGGCCUAUAGAGCAAACAAGGGUCAAACAAUGAUGUACGGCUACGCUACCUUUGGCCUACAGGGGCCUAGAGGCAGAUAAUUAGCGGAGGAGUUGAUGGGAAGUUUUUCUAGUGAACUGCUUUGUGAUUCAAGUGUACUCCAACAAUCCAUCAAGAGGCGCAAAUCACAGUUUAGCAUGGUCGUACUAGAACAUCUUGACAGAUUUGUUGAGCGCCGCCUACCACAGAAAAUUCCCGGUCAAAGGGCUUCACCAGAGUCCAUGAGACAAUUGGACGAUUCUCGUCACAAUAAUACGUUAAUAUCUCCACCAGGAUACAAAUCUUCCCAGGUGACAAAGUAAAACUAAAUUUGACUCUUUAAAGCGCUGAAGAGCAAAACAACCUAAAACGUGUUUUUUACAGAUUACAAUUGAUUCAAACUUAGUUUAUUUUGCUCUGGAAUGACUUCAUGUUUUACCUCUUUGGUUUUCGAUAUAAAUUUGAAUUUUGACGAAUUAUUCCUGACAAUCUUGACCCGAAGGUGCAAUUUGUUCAAGACAUCUUAGGUUCCACCUCCGUAGAUGAGCAAAACUUUGUGUUUCAGAGGGAAAUUCUUUCUGAUGCAGCAGAAAUAAGACUAUAUUUCUGAAAGAAACAGUAACGUCUGCAGAAGACCUGCUUCCUCUUUCAAAAUCAACAAGCUCUCAGACGCAGAUCCACUAUUUUAAUGACAUGACGGCUUCACCGUAGGAGCAUGGUACACGUGUGAACAGAAGUGGAUUUGGGGGUUUCCAAACAUGCGUGAACAUGCAUUGUAUGCAAAAACAUGAAGAUCUCAAAAUACACAGGAGUCAAAGGUCAA